CUUGGGCCAAUGAUUAUAUAGAAACAUGACAAGCAUAUGUCUGAACUUUCCAUGUGGAUUAAGCCUAAUCUUCUCUAUGAGGCCCUUU
rnacentral:snoRNA from 1 species